rnacentral:rRNA from 1 species
GACGAACGCUGGCGGCGUGCUUAACACAUGCAAGUCGAACGGAAAGGCCCUGCUUUUGUGGGGUGCUCGAGUGGCGAACGGGUGAGUAACACGUGAGUAACCUGCCCUUGACUUUGGGAUAACUUCAGGAAACUGGGGCUAAUACCGGAUAGGAGCUCCUGCUGCAUGGUGGGGGUUGGAAAGUUUCGGCGGUUGGGGAUGGACUCGCGGCUUAUCAGCUUGUUGGUGGGGUAGUGGCUUACCAAGGCUUUGACGGGUAGCCGGCCUGAGAGGGUGACCGGCCACAAUGGGACUGCGAUACGGCCCAGACUCCUACGGGAGGCAGCAGUGGGGAAUAUGACACAAUGGGCGGAAGCCUGAUGCAGCAACGCCGCGUGCGGGAUGACGGCCUUCGGGUUGUGAACCGCUUUCGCCUGUGACGAAGCGUGAGUGACGGUAAUGAGUAAAGAAGCACCGGCUAACUACGUG